CAGCAGCAGCCACGGUAAGACAGAGGAUGCAAGCGUUAUCCGGAAUGAUUGGGCGUAAAGCGUCUGUAGGUGGCUUUUCAAGUCCGCCGUCAAAUCCCAGGGCUCAACCCUGGACAGGCGGUGGAAACUACCAAGCUGGAGUACGGGAGGGGCAGAGGGAAUUCUCGGUGCAGCGGUGAAAUGCGUUGAGAUCGGAAAGAACACCAACGGCAAAAGCACUCUGCUGGGCCGACACUGACACUGAGAGACGAAAGCUAAGGGAGAAGAUGGGAUUAGAGACCCCAGUAGUCCCUGUCUCUUAUAC
rnacentral:rRNA from 1 species